AAGUCGUAACAAGGUUUUCGUAGGUGAACCUGCGGAAGGAUCAUUAAUGAGUUUUGGGAGUCCCUCUUAACCGGAGAAGGCCCAUCUACACUUAUUUCUCACACUUGUGAAUCGUUGAUGGAUGAUUGGCCCCUUGUCACGAGGGGGUACACCCAGUCGUUCUAUCGUUUAACCUUUUUUAACCCUUUGUGUAAUUGCAAAAGUGUUGAUAAUACAAGUUGAUCAAAUGAAAGAAAAACUUUCAGCAAUGGAUCUCUUGGCUCUCGCAUCGAUGAAGAACGCAGCGAAACGCGAAAUGUAAUGUGAAUUGCAGAAUUCAGUGAAUCAUCGAAUCUUUGAACGCACCUUGCGCUCCCGGGCCAUUCCUGAGAGCAUGUUUGUUUGAGUGUCGCUUACCCCUCUCAACCCCGUUUGUUUUUCGGAACGAAUAGUCUUAGGGUUGGAUCGUGACCUUUUGUUGGGCUUUGCAUUGAAUUGCGAGGCUUAUCCAACUGGGUUGAAUAGCAACAAGCUGAAUCCAACUCAGCGGCUUGACCUGUUGUCGUAACUUAAAACUCAAUAGGGACGCUGAUAGUAGAACGAGCUUACCAUAAAUUUGUUUUUAUCACAAAUGACCUCAAAUCAAGCAGGACUACCCGCUGAACUUAA
rnacentral:rRNA from 1 species